CCUACGGGAGGCAGCAGUGAGGAAUAUUGGUCAAUGGACGCAAGUCUGAACCAGCCAUGCCGCGUGCAGGAAGACGGCUCUAUGAGUUGUAAACUGCUUUUGUACGAGGGUAAAUCCCGAUGCGUGUAUCGGGUUGAAAGUAUCGUACGAAUAAGGAUCGGCUAACUCCGUGCCAGCAGCCGCGGUACUACGGAGGAUUCAAGCGUUAUCCGGAUUUAUUGGGUUUAAAGGGUGCGUAGGCGGUUCGAUAAGUUAGAGGUGAAAUCCCGGGGCUCAACUCCGGCACUGCCUCUGAUACUGUCGAGCUAGAGUUUAGUGGCUGUAGGCGGAAUGUAUGGUGUAGCGGUGAAAUGCAUAGAGAUCAUACAGAACACCGAUUGCGAAGGCAGCUUACCAAACUACGACUGACGUUGAGGCACGAAGGCGUGGGGAGCGAACAGGAUUAGAUACCCCAGUAGUC
rnacentral:rRNA from 1 species